rnacentral:rRNA from 1 species
CUUGAACGCUGGCGGCAGGCCUAACACAUGCAAGUCGAACGAGUGGCGGACGGGUGAGUAAUGUCUGGGAAACUGCCUGCUGGAGGGGGAUAACUACUGGAAACGGUAGCUAAUACCGCAUACCAUCAGAUGUGCCCAGAUGGGAUUAGCUUGUUGGUGGGGUAACGGCUGACCAAGGCGACGAUCCCUAGCUUGUCUGAGAGGAUGACGAGCCACACUGGAACUGAGAGACGGUCCAGACUCCUACGGGAGGAAGCAGUGGGGAAUAUUGCACAAGGGGCGAAAGCCUGAUGCAGCACUGCCGCGUGUAUGAAGUAGGCCUUGGGGUUGUAAAGUACUUUCAGCGGGGAGGCGGUACCCGCAGAAGAAGCACCGGCUAACUCCGUGCCAGCCGCCGCGGUAAUUC